CUCCAGUGCUCCCCCGACGCUCUGUCCCUCUUCACCCCCCACCUAACUGAGGCUUUGUAACCCGAUGCUCUGUAAAGAGCUUUCCACAGGAGCAUCAAGAGAUGUCCUUGCUCAAUAUUAAACCUGUCCCCCGACUGCCCUCCUUCCAAACACAGUCCCCUCCUGAGGCUUCCACCGCAAGGCUUGGCUGGCAGGAGAAACUGGCCCAGCUGUUUUGAAUUAGGGGCAAUGGGAGGCUUCCUUGUAAUAUAUGACUUAAUCAGUGUCCCUGAAGUAAACAGUCCAAGCUGUGGCUGGAAAUGACCCGACAUUGGACUUCAUCAACCUCCUUUGACUCUGAAGCUGAGAAUGAAUUUGGAUCUCUAUAGGUGUGUUCUAGGGUCUCAUUAGCAGAUAGCUGUCCUUGGACCUCUGGAGGAGUGAAGUAUAUCACGUGACUCCUGCACUGUAGGCUUGGGAAAUUCAUUUUGCCUCCCAGUCUCAGAGUUCCUUCCUGCCAAGUGGAGAUGACAGCAUCAGGACCGGGCUGCAUAUCAGGUCCGGGCUGCAUAUCCUCCCAAGCGCUCUGUGCUGGACUGGAUGGACCCAAGCAGACAGCUCCCGAUGUUAAAGGUGGUGUGCUGUGAAGACACUGAGCACAGAAUGCCCACUCUGUCCUCUGUGAGGGGCUCACAGGCCACGCAGCAGGGAGUGCAUGGUAAUAUGCAAAAGUGCUCCACCCACACGGAGAGUCCGGUUCUUCUGGUAUAGACUGGCACCCCGGAACCAUCAUCAGUGCAACAUGGCUUCCUCUUUCAUUCCUCCUUCACCAGCUCUGUACUGCCGCCUGCCAGGUGCCAAGAAGGGUGCUGAUGCAGAUCCGCGAGUAACCAAGACACCAUCCCCUGCCUGGGAGAGCUGUGCUGCUCCAUCCUCACUGCAGUCCCACACUCUCUCAAAUGGACCCUUCAAGAUUGUGGCAGCCCUUAUUGCUGCACUAUCAGGAUUAGUGCUGGAGUUGUGA
rnacentral:lncRNA from 10 species